rnacentral:rRNA from 1 species
AACGAACGCUGGCGGCAGGCUUAACACAUGCAAGUCGAGCGAAGACUUCGGUCUUAGCGGCGGACGGGUGAGUAACGCGUGGGAACGUGCCCUUCUCUACGGAACAGUCCUGGGAAACUUGGGCUAAUACCGGAUACGCCCUCCGGGGGAAAGAUUCAUUGCCGAAAGAUCGGCCCGCGUCGGAUUAGCUAGUUGGUGGGGUAAAAGCCUACCAAGGCGACGAUCCGUAGCUGGUCUGAGAGGAUGACCAGCCACACUGGGACUGAGACACGGCCCAGACUCCUACGGGAGGCAGCAGUGGGGAAUAUUGGACAAUGGGCGCAAGCCUGAUCCAGCCAUGCCGCGUGGGUGAAGAAGGCCCUAGGGUUGUAAACCCCUUUCAGCGGGGAAGAUAAUGACGGUACCCGCAGAAGAAGCCCCGGCUAACUCCGUGCCAGCCGCCGCGGAAUAC